GCUCGCGUAGCUCAGCGGAUAGAGCGUCUGCCUCCGGAGCAGAAGGUCGCUGGUUCGAUUCCAGUCGCGAGCGCCA
rnacentral:tRNA from 2 species